rnacentral:rRNA from 1 species
GUGGUUGGUUUUCUAGUUGACUUCCUUUUCGUUUUCUUUUAUAAACCCCUUGUUUAGGGGUCUGAGCCUUUGUCUCCUUCUGCUUAGUUAGUCUCUCCUUCACCGUACGUGUGCGCAGUGGAGGAGCCCCUCGGGUGUAGCGGCGACGAAGAGGUCGAUGUAUAAGAAGGAGUGGGGGCCAUUGGGUGCGUGCGGGCAGGAAGAGGGGGAGAGGAGCCUCGUGGAAGCGAAAGUGUAAUAGCCCCUUGUAAGAAGAGAGAGAGAGAGAGAAGGUUCUUCAGGCCCUCUUAGAGUAGACGGGGGGAACUGGACACUUAAUCAAUCAAAGCAGGACGGGUCUAGGACCACCUCGCCGUUCGGACGUCGUUAGGCACCCGUUUGUACUCACCCAACUUUUUCUUCAAAAAAAAAAGAGAAAUCGUUCUUGGUCUUGAUUUAGUAUAUCAACAAAAUACCGUGCGAAGACUACCGGUUGUGAUGUUACCCUUCAUGGUGAGCUAGUACGCUACACAUGGACGACAAGUUACCGCUUUGUGACGAAGGUUUACCACAGGCACGAAAGGAAACAUGACAACGGGAUCGCAUGACAAAAUAACCAAAUAGGCGCUAGUGACGGGCCAAGAAGUUCAGCUACCUCUCGUAGUGUUUGGUGAGAGCCCUCCAUCAAUGUUAACUAUGUCUUUGUUUAUGCGGAUAGCACUUCGUACUCUUCCAAACCUUGAUGUGAUAUCGCCUGUAACGAGACGAACGAAAACCAUGGUCGAAAGGGGUCUAGAGGGAACGUUGUUAGCUACGUUAGGCAUUAGAGCCAGUUGACUGUCGUCCUCCAAAUCCAGGUCCAUGUGAACACCCAAGACGACGCAAGCUAGACAAGGGCUAGGUACGACAGACACACCAAUACGGUUCCCGUCCGAGAUACUUUUUCUAAAGGCUAAAUCCACAAACCAAUCAACUCGACAAAACCAGUAAGACCCGUAUGUAGACCGACAUAUAAUAAAAUCUCCACACCUGUGGAUUACACUAGUGGGAGACCCUCCGGGACCAUUGUCAAAACGUCAUACCUAAUGAAAACCAAGUACGCAUACGCGUCCUAUUCGCCACCGGUAUACACAGUUAGGGAAACCAGUCUCCACUCUCUGGACUUCUAACCCAAGGUCGUCUUCUAUGAAGUGAAGUGGUACUGUUUUUAACACUACUUUUAUCAUUGUAUGAUGGGUCGCUCUUACUACUACACCUAUAUAAGAGGUAAGUAAGAAUGUCGUUACGUCCAUUUGUCAAAGACUUGUAACCCAUGACAAAGGAGAUUACUUGGAUAUAAGAAACAUACAUUGGUCUUCUCGGUCUCAAAUAUGUGUAAGUGAACACAUCAGGUUAUUUACUAGUUCACGGAUAGUCAUCAAUUGAAUAGGUCAGAGGUAGUCUAAAGCGUAAAGACAAACUUUGAUGUACCCUCAAUUAAACACUUAAUGUUGAGAUCGUGAGUACACUGUAAAACGUUAAUGUGAUUAAACAGACAUGAUGUUUUAUGUAAACAAGAAGUGCCCCCUACAAACUACCAUGAACAUCAAAUACGUCUAACUGAUAGGUAAUUAUAUGGCUUUUUCCGAUGGCGGGGCGAAAUAUAUAUUUCGUUUCCAGUUGUAGUGGACCAUGUUUGCGUGCGGUGGUGGUGUGUGUGGGUUCCAUCCUAUGUAUCCGCGACUCGCGUCGUUGUGGUGGGGAUCGUGAUGUUGGUGCUUCUCUACUUCGGCGUAUGCUGCUUGGCACCUGAGGUUCCACCGCGGAAGUCCUUCCUAUGCCGUGGCUUCGCGGCGGGGGCGAGCUAGGCUCCUAGUCUCAAAGGGGACCUCGGCGUACUACCCGUUACUCUCGGCGCUGCUGCGGAAGUUCUUCCCUUGCUCGAAGCGCAGCGGCCAGGCAGGCUUCUAUCUUGUCCAAAAGUGGGGCCGGUUGUGAGUGGCGGUGGCUUGCGGUGUGGGACCGAUGGUGCGGCGGGUGUGCCGGUACCGGUGGCCCGUCGUGGUUCGGUGCCCGAGACGGAUUCUCGUGGCGCGACGGCGACGGGGCCGAAGGUUCUGGAACUGUGGUGGAGUGGACUCUGGGUGGCGAUGGGGUUGGUUUCUCUGUUCGCCUUUCCAGGGAGGAAAGCGUGGGGACCCGCUGCUCUGGGUCAUCCGGCCGGUCGUGACCGUAGGUAACUGGGCAGGGCUUCGGGGCACGCGUUCUGCUCGAGCCAGGACGUCGUGGCACUCCCCCUACUCCAGUCAGGACAACGUGGCACGCGCUCUGAUCGAGCCAGACCAGCGUUACACACGCUCUGCUCGUUACCUGGCGUCGACCCUCUCCCGGUCAGGAAGCUACCUUCAUCGCGGGCGCGCUGCUCCUCUACCCCGCUUCCAGCUUUGCCAGGCUAGCGUCUGCUCGGCUGCGGCCUCUUCGGCAGGCGGAGGCGUCCGUCUAGGCGGCUCGGUGGCACUUCGGCGGUGCUGUGGCUCUCCGGUGGUACGCGGCCUGGAGGGGUGCGGCGGCGGGUGCCGGCCUCGUUGCUGGUGUGGGCCGGCGAUGGUAUGAGCGUAGCGGGCCGCUCGAGGUGCACGGCCUCGGCGGCCCGUGCGUGGUGGUCUAGCCGGGGUGCGGUAGUGGCCCGGCCCGACUAGUCUUGGUCGGGGGGUCGUCGGCCGGCGUGGUGGGUCUGGGCGCGCGUGGUGGUUACGGUAGGCCCUCCCGCCUAGGUACGGCGGGAGCGGACGUGGAGCUGCUUUCUUCGGGCUGCCUAGACCGGCUUCGGGUCGACGGUGGUGACGGUGGCGGUGCCCGUGGUGGUCGGUGACGUGGCGGACUAAGGGUCGAUGCGGACGGUGCGUCAUAGCGCAGCGGGCAGCGGUCGCGGCACAGGGUCGACCUUCCUCGUCGGGGCACGGCCAGGGGAGGACGCUCCUUAGUUUUUACGGGGCGGCAGUGGCGGCGGCCCGCCCGAAACGGGCCGGCUCGGGACACCGCCGCCGCCCCCUCCCCCCUCUUCUCGACCCCCUGGGACCACCGCCGCCCGAAAGGAGGGCCGACGGCGUGCCCCCGCUGUGCCCUUCCUCCCCUCCCUCUAUGAACGGAGAGACCGAAGAAAAGAACUUAGGUAGGUAAUUAUAAAGAGCCGUAAUGCAUGAGAUUGUGAUGGGGGUGGACCUGUACGUCGAACAGGAGCUGGACGUCGGAUUGGUUGAAUAUUGGUACUGAGCUGCGUUGUGUUUGGAUUGUGGAUUUUUGUUCGGAAAAUGUAGAGCCGAACAAAAUAAUAAGAGUUGGAUUUUACCUGACUCCGCGAAAUAAGAGUUGGAUAUAUCAGUCCGUCUGCAGAUGGGAUCGGCGACGGCAAAAGAGCAUACCAAAGAGUGGCGGCAAGGCCUGGUAACGUGACGGUUAGUUCAGAAGAGGUAGGGAGGAAAGCCGCACGUGGCCCUCUUCCAUGUCGUCCGGAGGCCUUGGGGCGGAGACCACUAGGACAUGCCCUCUCCCCGCUAGUCCAAAAACCCCUCGCGUGAGCGCGCUGACGACCGUCGCUGCUGAAGCGCUUGCUGCUGAAGAAGGGGCUGGAGCCGUUGGAGUAGGAGCUGCUGUACCCGCUGUUGCAGUUGCGGCCGCCACGACGAGGGCGACGUGGUAAAGGGUACAGAGUCGUCGUACCCCCUCGGCCACAGGAGCCGGCCUCAACGUAGAUGAACGCCCGCUGGAGUGACACUGCUAGUGUAGAUGUCUAAGCCUCCAUGUUUGCUGACCAUUUCUUCGAGGAAGUUGAUAAACUAAAUUCUCUUCUGUACCCAACCACGACUUUUAUAUACACAACCGAUAUCCCGGUAUCUUUAUUACUAGCUACUAGUUUAGGUAGAGACGUAAAUUUCCUACUGAGGAAGCCGCCACACGACAGUUUAAACUACUUCAACUCGUACGGACGGAAUACUAGUUAGGACUGUCACACGUCGUACUAUACGUGAAGACGACAAGACAGAUCAAUCACGAUAUCAAGUAACCAACGAUUUUAACUAACGAGUAGAGGACGAAUCACUUUGCCGACGACCCACAAAGAAAAGUUCAUUUACCGUUACGAUUCAACGACCAAAUUGAAUCAUAACAUCCCUACCUGUAUACCUAACUCAUGGGAUAACUUUCGAUGUGUCUAGAAUCGUCGGUUCUUGAAGAUAAUCUUAUCGAAGCUACCUCUUUUCAAUAAUACCUACCAGAAAACAUGAUACACGAAGUUAGUCUCGAAGCUAAAAGAAUCGGCCGUUGUUCCACAUUCUAUCGAAACACCUACCAAACCACGGAAACCUCGAAGGAGGUAACUACGUACGUAAGAUAAGACGUGUAUGGGAAGUAGAGGAUGGAGGAGCACAAGCACGAGAGACGACACUAACCCGCCAACUUUAGUUAAAUAGACCUAUCGCUCCUCGUUAAGUCAUUAGUAAAUGUGUGGUACAUAUGAAGUAAAAUAAAGUACAUAUUGGAUAUAUUCUGUCUUUCACCCAUCGAGGAGGCAAAGUUACGAUCGGACUUUUUAUGACUCAAAGGGAAAUCUAUUAAAGUACAUAUUGUACAUAUUCUUUCAUGGUAAUGAACUUUUAAAUAUCGCACGUCUGGUGGUGUUUCUUAUUAGACGGAAAUCUAUUAAACUCACCUACGAGUAAACUAUCAAUUAGUUAAUACGAGUAUUGCUCCCGCAGACCUCGUUCGACGGACGGAGGUUCUCGCGGAAAAGGAUCCCCAUAGUAUUACUGGACACAUAAAGGAUACUAAUUAACUACAUCAUCUAAACUUCAAUUCCCUAACCACAACGUUAAACCCUACGCCACUGUCACUGAAACGUAAAAUCUCAUCGCCGUAUGUAGAUAUAUAUUCUUAUGGAUACAAGGCUUAAAUAGAAAUCGGAUACGAAGCCAAGUCCACGCAUUAAGAACUGAUAUCACCCGCAACACAACAACGAGGACACUAUCCAACAAAUAAACCUGAACACGAUGUUUCUACAUCAAAGACGUUUUUCUUUUACGAUGUAAAAAAUGAUCGUUUCUACAGCUAGAACG